rnacentral:rRNA from 1 species
CCUACGGGGGGCAGUAGUGAGGAAUAUUGGUCAAUGGACGAGAGUCUGAACCAGCCAAGUAGCGUGAAGGAUGACUGCCCUAUGGGUUGUAAACUUCUUUUAUAUGGGAAUAAAAUGUUCCACGUGUGGGAUUUUGUAUGUACCAUAUGAAUAAGGAUCGGCUAACUCCGUGCCAGCAGCCGCGGUAAUACGGAGGAUCCGAGCUUUAUCCGGAUUUAUUGGGUUUAAAGGGAGCGUAGGUGGAUUGUUAAGUCAGUUGUGAAAGUUUGCGGCUCAACCGUAAAAUUGCAGUUGAAACUGGCAGUCUUGAGUACAGUAGAGGUGGGCGGAAUUCGUGGUGUAGUGGUGAAAUGCUUAGAUAUCACGAAGAACUCCGAUUGCGAAGGCAGCUCACUGGACUGCAACUGACACUGAGGCUCGAAAGCGUGGGGAGCAAACAGGAUUAGAUACCCCGGUAGUC